rnacentral:lncRNA from 1 species
CGUGUUAAAAGGAGUUCUCAACCGCAUCAGCAUCAACAUCAAGUUUCUUUAGUGAUUCCUGUAUUUUUCAAUAAUUCCAAUAAUCAAUCCAUUCCAAUUCAACAACAACAACGUCAACAACAACCGCAACAAAGAACCAACUACAACUACAACAACAAUAAUAAUAAUCAACAAUAGAACUUUGAGAGGAAGAAGGUCUCUUUUGACCCUAUUCCUAUGUCAUACGCAUAAUUAUAUCUCUCUUUGGUUCUCAAGAACCUACUUCAACGCAGAAAUCCACCUCAAAUUCCUGAGCCACAU